rnacentral:tRNA from 1 species
AGUUAAUAAGCUUAAAUAGCAAUUGUUUUGAAAACAAUAGAUAGAAAUCAUUAAAUUUCUAUUAACUU